AUUGAACGCUGGCGGCAGGCCUAACACAUGCAAGUCGAACGAGUGGCGGACGGGUGAGUAAUGUCUGGGAAACUGCCCGAUGGAGGGGGAUAACUACUGGAAACGGUAGCUAAUACCGCAUACCAUCGGAUGUGCCCAGAUGGGAUUAGCGAGUAGGUGGGGUAACGGCUUACCUAGGCGACGAUCCCUAGCUGGUCUGCGAGGAUGACCAGCCACACUGUAACUGAGACACGGGACAGACUCCUACGGGCGGCAGCAGUGGGGAAUAUUGCACAAUGGGCGCAAGCCUGAUGCAGCCAUGCCGCGUGUAUGAAGAAGGCCUUCGGGUUGUAAAGGACUUUCAGAGAGGAGGCGUUACUCGCAGAAGACGCACCGGCUAACUCCGUGCCAGCAGACGCGGUAAGAC
rnacentral:rRNA from 1 species